AUAUAUAGCCUAGAUCAGAAGAGGACGUCCGUGAAAUUGAGAGAGUGCGGACGACGCAACGUGUCAACCAGUCAUUAGUUUUCUGCAAAAGACUGAUAUACGGUCCCGCCACCCACUAAAUAAUGAUCUCUAUCUUCUUGGUAGGAACUCACAGCCCCAAAACACCAGAAUUCGAUCACUUCUGGAAAAUUGAAUAGCUGUUUACCAAUAUUGAUGCCAGGCUUUUAAUGAAACACAAUUAGGAACAUCGUACCUCAGCCCAUUUGAGAUAAGUUUGGUACUUUGGUUUAUAUUUCUUUCAUCUAAUUAACCAUCUGAAAGAGGAAAGUAAAGCACCCCAUUCUUAGUAGCUUCCACUCGUGAUCAAUGGCACUUUCGACCCCUCUUAAACCCACCCUACCACAUUGCCUUCAUCGACACAGCCACUGAAAACCACCUCACCUUUACCCAAGUCUAGUGUGUCGUCGAUUAGAUCGCCUCGUCGAUUAAUGGGAUUUGACUAUGGGUCUUGUUAGUUGUUAAUUGAAUGUUUAGAUGAGAGGAUAUUGUUAACUAUUAUAGUGGUGUAAAGUUUCAUUGGGGCAUGAAGAUUAGAGAGAAUAGAGUGUCGAGUGGAUGGGAUUGUGAGGAUGAUGGCCGGAAGGAUUGAAUCUGAAGUUGGAGCGGAGCUUGAGGCGGCGGUGGUUGGCGGGGAGAUGAACAACAACAAUACAAGUGCUAUGGAGAUGUAUUAAUUACUGAUUCCCUGCCCAUUUCAAGAUUUAUAGGAUUUCAGUUUAUGGAUUUGGAGAUUGGGAAAAGGAGAAGAAUAUAGACUAGGAGGCAAGUUUCAAUCUUGAAAACAAAAAGAGAAGUUCGAGACGAAGGAGAUGUGGGUAGGACCCGCUUGGAGAUGAAAUUCAUUCCCUGGCUGACACGUCUUCAUCCGCACUUUUUCAUUUUCACGGAGGUCCUCUUUUGAUCUUGGCUACAUAUAUAUAUAUAUAUAUAUAUAUAUAUAUAUAUAUAUA
rnacentral:lncRNA from 1 species